rnacentral:rRNA from 1 species
CACGUAGUUAGCCGGGGCUUCUUCUGCAGGUACCGUCGAUGUUCUUCCCUGCUGAAAGCGGUUUACAACCCGAAGACCGUCAUCCCGCACGCGGCGUUGCUGCGUCAGGGUUUCCCCCAUUGCGCAAUAUUCCCCACUGCUGCCUCCCGUAGGAGUCUGGGCCGUAUCUCAGUCCCAAUGUGGCCGAUCGCCCUCUCAGGCCGGCUACCCAUCGCAGGCUAGGUGGGCCGUUGCCCCGCUACUACCUAAUGGGCCGCGACCCCAUCCCGCACCGUCGGAGCUUUCCUCCGUGGCGCAUGCGCGCCUCGGAGAGUAUCCCGGGUAUUUAGGCCCGCCGUUUCCCGGCGGGUUUGUCCCCGGGGGUGCCGGGGGCAGGGUUGGUCACGGUGUUACUCGACCCGUUCGCCACUGUAUGUCCGCCCGAGGGCGGUUUAACCGUCGACUUGCAUGUGUUAGGCACGCCGCCAGCAUUCAUCCUGACGUCCAGGAUCAAACUCU